GCAAGCUAUGCUCACGAGUCCUCUCUCUCUCCUUCUCUCUCUCUCGUGUCUGUGCAGCAGUCCCCAGACUCGAUGACUUCCAGUCAGAUGUUGGGUCCUGGUCUCAACCUGAGGGUCUGGGAGGACUGAUGCCUACCACAACAGUCAGGUAACACAGACUGCCUACCACACAGUCAGGUAACACAGACAGCUACCACACAGUCAGUAACACAGACUACCACCACAGACUGCCUACACACAGUCAGUAACACAGACUGCCUACCAACCAGGUAACAGAUGCCUACCACACCAGGUAACACAGAUGGCCUACCACACAGACUGCUACCACGCAGCCAGGUAACAAAGACUGCCUACCACACAAUCAGGUAACACAGACAGCCUACCACACAGACAGCCUACCACACAUCAGGUACACAGACUGCCUACCACACAGUCAGUAACACAGACUGCUACCACACAGUCGGUAACAAGACUGCCUACACACAGUCAGGUAACACAGACUGCCUACCACAACAGUCAGGUAAAACAGACUGCCUACACACAUCAGGUAAACACAGACGCCUACCACACAGUCAGGUAACACAGACUGCCUACCACACAGUCAGGUAACACAGACUGCCUACCACACAAUCAGGUUACACAGACAGCCUACCACACAGGACAGCCUACCACACAGUCAGGACACAGACUGCCUACCACACAGUCAGGUAACACAGACUGCUACCACACAGUCAGGUACACAGACUGCCACCACACAGUCAGGUAAACACGACUGCUAC
rnacentral:lncRNA from 1 species